UCAUUUUGCUAUUAUAUCAGAAUUGAUUGAGGUCAUUUGAACUUGUAGUUUUAGUGUAUGCUUAUUGUUGCCCCUUGCAAAAAUGUAAAUGUAGAAGCUGACUAUCUAGUUUCUGCUCAGUGCAGCAUGUUUGGUAUAGUUUAGUAAUGGGUAGUUUUCUUUCAUUUCAAUUCUAACCUUUUGUACUUAGGCGUUUUCUUUAGAUUUAUUGUAUAAAUAAGAUUUCCAUUUGCUGAAAAUGCAUUUCUUAAUACAAGUGAAUCAUGUUCAGCAAUCAAAGCAUUACUCUUAUCUCUCUUCAAAGUGAAAUUUGGAUGUGUG
rnacentral:misc_RNA from 1 species